UUUCUUAUAAAGGUCCACUUGCCAUGUGAUCCAUUAAUCCCCUGGGGAUUUACUCAAGGGAAAUUGAAACUUGUGCGCGCAUAAUAGUUCAUACAUAAUUGUAAAUAAUUGUGUAAAUAAUUCAAAAGCCCUACCCCCAACUGCGAACGCACAAAAGCUCUUUAAUGGGUAAAUAUAAGCUAAUUAUGUUGUCUAUACAAUCAAAAGCUACUUGAAAAAACACAAUUGUCCUUUGACAGAUGUAAUGCUUGGAAGUUUCUAGAGGUUUUUUUGCCGGCUGAGUCAUCUCGCCUGCCCCUUUUUUCUUCAGAAAAGAUCUUGCUUGGACAGCCCAAACUGGUCUUGAAUUCAUAAUCUUGCAUCAGCCUCCCAAGUGCCGGGAAUUCGGAGUGUGCUCCACUCCAUCCAAAGAGAUCAUCAUUUUUUACUUUGUUGGUAUUCUCUGCUUUUUAUUGUCUUUGUUUUUUGAACUCCUUAUCUCAAGAGCUACAAUUACAACUUCUGGCCUGCACAACUAUGAAAAAAAUUGCUAUUGUUUUUGUUUUUGUUUUGUUGAGCCCAAGUCUCAUUGCCCACACUGGUCUCAAACUCUUCAUGAAGUCAAACUCCCAAGUGCUGAGAUUAAAGGUGCAGUGAUUACAAAUAUGUAACAUCAUGGCCAGCUUUACAUGGGCUCUGAGGAUCUAAACUCCGGUCCUCAAAUGUGAGCAGCAUUUGCUUUACCCAUCGAACCCUCUCCUCAGCCCUGUGCCAGCCAGCUUUUGUUUAUGGUGGGUGCUGAACAUUUGGACUGCUUCCAUUCUGAG
rnacentral:lncRNA from 1 species